CCUACGGGGGGCUGCAGUGGGGAAUAUUGGACAAUGGGGGGAACCCUGAUCCAGCCAUGCCGCGUGUGUGAAGAAGGCCCUCGGGUUGUAAAGCACUUUCAGUGAGGAAGAACGCCUGGUGGUUAAUACCCAUCAGGAAAGACAUCACUCACAGAAGAAGCACCGGCUAACUCCGUGCCAGCAGCCGCGGUAAUACGGAGGGUGCGAGCGUUAAUCGGAAUUACUGGGCGUAAAGCGCGCGUAGGUGGCUUGAUAAGCCGGUUGUGAAAGCCCCGGGCUCAACCUGGGAACGGCAUCCGGAACUGUCAAGCUAGAGUGCAGGCGAGGAAGGUAGAAUUCCCGGUGUAGCGGUGAAAUGCGUAGAGAUCGGGAGGAAUACCAGUGGCGAAGGCGGCCUUCUGGACUGACACUGACACUGAGGUGCGAAAGCGUGGGUAGCAAACAGGAUUAGAUACCCUUGUAGUC
rnacentral:rRNA from 1 species